UACGUAGGGCGCGAGCGUUGUCCGGAAUCAUUGGGCGUAAAGAGCUCGUAGGCGGCCGGUUGCGUCUGCUGUGAAAUCCCGGGGCUUAACCCCGGGCGUGCAGUGGAUACGGGCUGGCUGGAGGCAGGCAGGGGAGAAUGGAAUUCCCGGUGUAGCGGUAAAAUGCGCAGAUAUCGGGAGGAACACCGGUGGCGAAGGCGGUUCUCUGGGCCUGUGCUGACGCUGAGGAGCGAAAGCGUGGGGAGCGAACAGG
rnacentral:rRNA from 1 species